rnacentral:rRNA from 1 species
CAGCAGCCGCGGUAAUACGAAGGGUGCAAGCGUUACUCGGAAUUACUGGGCGUGAAGCGUGCGUAGGUGGUGGUUUAAGUCCGUUGUGAAAGCCCUGGGCUCAACCUGGGAAUUGCAGUGGAUACUGGGUCACUAGAGUGUGGUAGAGGAUAGUGGAAUUUCCGGUGUAGCAGUGAAAUGCGUAGAGAUCGGAAGGAACAUCUGUGGCGAAGGCGACUAUCUGGGCCAACACUGACACUGAGGCACGAAAGCGUGGGGAGCAAACAGGAUUAGAUACCCGUGUAGUCCCUGUCUCUUAUAC